CAGCCGCCACGGUAAUACGUAGGGUGCGAGCGUUAAUCGGAAUUACUGGGCGUAAAGCGUGCGCAGGCGGUUAUAUAAGACAGAUGUGAAAUCCCCGGGCUCAACCUGGGACCUGCAUUUGUGACUGUAUAGCUAGAGUACGGUAGAGGGGGAUGGAAUUCCGCGUGUAGCAGUGAAAUGCGUAGAUAUGCGGAGGAACACCGAUGGCGAAGGCAAUCCCCUGGACCUGUACUGACGCUCAUGCACGAAAGCGUGGGGAGCAAACAGGAUUAGAUACCCCCGUAGUCCCUGUCUCUUAUAC
rnacentral:rRNA from 1 species